rnacentral:lncRNA from 1 species
AUAUAUGUACUCCUUGAAUCCUUAUCUGCUAUAUUGUCCUUAAAGCUUUAGGGUUGACGAUCUUGUGCAACGAAACUUGAGUUCUUCACAAAAGCUUGUAAUUCCAAGCAGAUUUGCUGAUCUGACCUUUCUUCAUUCAAACGAUCAUAACUCAGUCUAGAAGUAUCGAAAUCGAGAUCCGUAAAAUUCUAUAGAAAAUAGACAUCUGUAGCUUUCCAAUGAUAUAAGGCUCAUAAUCUGAUUCGAUCUCAGUAAUUCGGCGAAGUUGGAUGUUCUGCCCAGGCAGAUUUUAGGACUUGGGAUUGUAGUCGUCUUUCAAUCCUUAUUUGCGCAUUUUAUCUCUUUUUCUUCUCUCUAUGACACAAACCUUCAAGAACACUAAAAUAACAUAAAUAAGUCAUAAAGAAGAUAACUAAAUACAAAUCUCAAGCAUAAAAGGCUUAGAAAUAUAGGAUAAUAUGAGCAUAUCAAAAAUUGGCCGGAAAGUUAUAAUCCACCCACCGUAACUCUACGUCGUGAGUCGAGCUUCAAGACCAUCAUAAGUCGAACCAGGGCGCCCAACACUUCCUAUCCCUACCGGUUUUAAGCCUCGUCGCCACCGCCGGAGGUAGGAAUCCCGACCGGUCCUCCACCCGAAACUUCUAGGCUUCGAUUCGCACGAACCAUCAUGAAUCGGAGCAAGCCACCACCACAAGUAAGGAUGCGCCACCGAGAUGAAGCGUCUCCAACCGGUGCCGUCGGUCGGAGUUGGCUGAAAAAACCGGGUCCGGGUCGGGUCAGCUGGAGAAUUUGGAUUCUCUCGGGGUCAGGAAGAGAGAAGGAGAGGGGAAGAAAUGUGAUUUUGAAAAAAUGAGGACCCAAAACAAAAUUUUCCUAUUUAACCUAAAUAUUCCUGAAAAGUCACAACUUCCGCUGACCAUAACUUUCUCAUACGAAGUCUGUUUUAUGCGUGUCGCGUGUCUACGAACUUGUAUCGUCGUGCUCUACAACUUUCGUGAAGGAAGUUUCUCGAGAAACCCAACGAAUAAAAAGUCAACUCUAAGGCUGCUAAGGGGUCGCCUUCACUCGCUAUAGGUCUGCCUUGGCCCGCUUUGGGCUGCCUUAACUCGCCUUGGGCUGCCUUGACUCGGCUAAGGCCACAAAGGUGCCGCCUUCACCUAGCUAAGGCCGCAAGGUGUCGCAUUGACCCGCUAAGGGUCUGCCUUGACCUGCUUUGGGCUGUCUUGACCCUUCUUGGCCACCCCUUGCGCUGCCUUGACACGUCUAGGGCCACCUUGACCUGUUAUGGGCUGCCUUGACCUGUCUACGGCCGAUUUGGGCCGUCUUGACCCAUCUAGGGGCACCUUGACCCGCCUUAACCUGCCUUGGCCCGCCUGGACCCGCCUUGGGCUGCCUUGACCCGCCUAGACCCUCCUAGGGCCGCUAAGAGGCCGCCUUAGCCCAUCUAGGUCCACUAAGAGGCCGCCUUAACCCAUCUAGGGCGGCCAAGGGGCCGCGUUCACCUGUUUAAGACCGCCAAAGGGCCACCUUGGGCUGCCUUGACCCAUUUUAGGCCGCCUUGGGCUGUCUUUAUCUAGGGCCUCUAAGAGAUCGUCUUAACCCAUUUAGGUCCACUAAGAGGCCACCUUAACCCAUCUAUGGACGCCAAGGGCCGCGUUCACCCGUCGAAGGCCGCCAAGGGGGCCGCGUUUACCCAUUUUGACUUGCCAGGAGCUGCUUUGACCUUCCUAGACCCACCCAAGGCCGCCUUGCCCCUUCUAGGCCCUCCUAGGCCCGCCUAAACCACCAAGGGGCCGACUUGACCCUCCAAGGCCCUCCUAGGCCCGCUUACGGCCACUAAGGGGCCGCCUUUACCUGUUUUGGGCUACCUUGACCCGCCUUGACUCGUCUUGUGCCGCCUUAACCUGCCUUGGGCCCCCUUGACCCGUCUNNNNNNNNNNNNNNNNNNNNGCCUAGACCAUCCUUGGGCCGCUAAGAGGCCGCCUUAGCCCAUCUAGGUCCACUAAGAGGACGCCUUAACCCAUCUAGAGCGGCCAAGGGGCCGCGUUCACCCGUUUAAGCCUGCCAAGGGGCCACCUUGACCCGCCUUGGCCCACCUUGACCCCCUUAGGCCGCCUUGAUCCGCUUUGGGCCGCCUUGACCCGCCUUGGCCAACCUUGACCCGCCUUAGGCCUCCUUGACCCUCCUAGGGCCUCUUAAACCGCCUUAACUCUCCUAGGGUCUCCAAGAGGCCGCCUUAACCGAUCUAGGGCUACCAUGAGGCCGCCUUCACCCAUUUAGGACCACUAGGUUCCCGCCUUGACCCGUCUAAGGCUGCUAAGGGGGUCGCCUUCACUCGCUAUAGAUCUACCUUGGCCCGCUUUGGGCUGCCUUGACUCGGCUAAGGCCACAAAGGUGCCGCCUUCACCUAGCUAAGUCCGCAAGGUGUCGCCUUGACCCGAUAAGGGUCUGCCUUGACCGGCUUUGGGUUGCCUUGGUCACCCCUUACGCUACCUUGACAAGUCUAGGGCCACAUUGACCUGUUAUGGGUUGCCUUGACCCGUCUACGGCCGAUUUGGGCCGUCUUGACCCAUCUGGGGCACUUUGACCUGCCUGGACCCGCCUAGACCCUCCUAGGGCCGUUAAGAGGCCGCCUUAGCCCAUCUAGUUCUACUAAGAGGCCGCCUUAGCCCAUCUAGGUCUACUAAGAGGCCGCCUUAACCCAUCUAGGGCGGCCAAAGGGCCGCGUUCACCUGUUUAAGCCCGCCAAAAGGCCACCUUGGCCCAACUUGGGCUGCCUUGACCCAUCUUAGGCUGCCUUGGGUCGUCUUUAUCUAGGGCCGCUAAGAGAUCGCCUUAACCCAUCUAGGUCCACUAAGAGGCCACCUUAACCCAUCUAUGGACGUCAAGGGCCGCGUUCACCCGUCGAAGGCCGCCAAGGGCCGCGUUCACCCAUUUUGACUUGACAGGAGCUGCCUUGACCUUCCUAGGCCCGCCCAAGGCCGCCUUGCCCAUUCUAGGCCCUCCUAGGCCUGCCUAAACCACCAAGGGGCCGACUUGACCCUUCAAGGCCCUCCUAGGCCCGCCUACGGCAACUAAGGGGCCGCCUUUGCCUGCUUUGGGCUGCCUUGACCCGCCUUGGGCCGCCUUUACCAGUCUACGGCCGCCUUGGGCUGCCUUGACUCGUCUAGUGCAGCCUUAACCUGCCUUUACCCACCUUGGGCCGCCUAGACCCUCCAAGGGCCACUAAGAGGCCGCCUUAGCCCAUCUAGGUCCACUAAGAGGCCGCCUUAACACAUCUAGGGCGGCUAAGGGGCCGCGUUCACCCGUUUAAACCCACUAAGGGGCCACCUUAACCCGCCUUGGCCCACUUUGGGCCGCCAUGACCCGCCUUGACCCGUCUUGACCCGUCUUAGGCCGUCUUGACCCUCCUAAGGCCUCUUGAACCGCCUUAACUCUCCUAGGGCCGUCAGGAGGCCGCCUUAACCGAUCUAGGGCUACCAUGAGGCCGCCUUCACCCAUGUAGAACCACUAGGUGCCCGCCUUGACCCGUCUAAGGCUGCUAAGGGGUCGCCUUCACUUGCUGUAGGUCUGCCCUUGCCCGCUUUGGGCUGUCUUGACUCGGCUAAGGCCACAAAGGUGCCGCCUUCACCUGGCUAAGGCCGCAAGGUGCCUCCUUGACCCGCUAAGGGUCUGCCUUGACCCGCUUUGGGCUGCCUUGACCCUCCUUGGCCACCCCUUACGCUGCCUUGACACAUCUAGGGCCACCUUGACCUGUUAUGGGCUGCCUUGACCCGUCUACGGCCGAUUUGGGCCGUCUUGACCCAUCUAGGGGCGCCUUGACCCGUCUUAACCUGCCUUGGCCCGCCUGGACCCGCCAUGGGCUGCCUUGACCCGCCUAGACCCUCCUAGGGCCGCUAAGAGGCCAUCUUAGCCCAUCUAGGUCCACUAAGAGGCCGCCUUAACCCAUCUAGGGCGGCCAAGGGGUCGCAUUCACCUGUUUAAGCCUGCCAAAGGGCCACCUUGGCCCGACUUGGGCUGCCUUGACCCAUCUUAGGCCGCCUUGGGCCGCCUUUAUCUAGGGCCGCUAAGAGAUCGCCUUAACCUAUCUAGGUCCACUAAGAGGCCACCUUAACCCAUCUAUAGACGCCAAGGGCCGCGUUCACCCAUUUUGACUUGCCAGGAGCUGCCUUGACCUUCCUAGACCCGCCCAAGGCCGCCUUGCCCCUCCUAGGCUCUCCUAGGACUGCCUAAACCACCAAGAGGCCUACUUGACCCUCCAAGGCCCUCCUAGGCCCGCCUACGGCCACUAAGGGGCCGCCUUUGCUUGCUUUGGGCUGCCUUGACCCACCUUGGGCCACCUUUACCCGUCUACGGCCACCUUGGGCUGCCUUGACUCGUCUAGUGCAGCCUUAACCUGCCUUUACCCACCUUGGGCUGCCUAGACCCUCCAAGGGCCACUAAGAGGCCGCCUUAGCCCAUCUAGGUCCACUAAGAGGCCGCCUUAACCCGCCUUGGCCCACCUUGGGCUGCCUUGACCCGCCAUGGGCCGCCUUGACCCAUCUUGACCCGCCUUAGGCCGCCUUGACCCUCCUAAGGCCUCUUGAACCGCCUUAACUCUCCUAGGGCCGCCAAGAGGCCGCCUUAACCGAUCUAGGGCUACCAUGAGGCCGCCUUCACCCAUUUAGGACCACUAGGUGCCCGCCUUGACCCGUCUAAGGCUGCUAAGGGGGUCGCCUUCACUCGCUAUAGGUCUGCCUUGGCCCGCUUUGGGCUGCAUUGACCCUCCUUGGCCCCUCUUGCGCAGCCUUGACACGUCUAGGGCCACCUUGACCCGUCUACGGCCACUUUGGGCCGUCUUGACCCGUCUAGGGGCGCCUUAACCCGCCUUUACCUGCUUUGGCCCGCCUUUACCCGCUUUGGGCUUGCUUGACCCGCCUAGACCCUCAUAGGGCUGCUAAGAGGCUGCCUUAGCCCAUCUUGAGCUGCUUUGACCCGCAUUGGGUCUCCUUGACCCGCCUUUACCCUCCUAGGGCCACUAAGAGGCCGCCUUAACCCUUCUAGGGCGGCCAAGGGCCCACGUUCACCCGUUUAAGGCCGCCAAGGGGACACCUUGACCCUCAUAGGCCGCCUUGACCCGUCUAGGGUCGUAUUGACCGCCUAGGGCCUCUUGGGCCGCCUUGACCCUCCUAGGCCCUCCUAGACCUGCCUAGGACCACCUUGACCCGCCUUGGCCUGCUUUGGGCUGACUUAACCCACCAUGGGCUUCCUUGACCCGGCUACGACCGCUUUGGGCCGCCUUUAGUCGCCCUGACCCUCAUAGACCCUCCUUGGGCCGCUAAGAGGCCGCCUUAGCCCAUCCAGGUCCACUACGAGGCCGCCUUAACCCAUCUAGGGAGGCCAAGAGGCCGCGUUCACCCAUUUAAGCCCGCCAAGGGGUCACCUUGAUCCGCCUUGGCCUGGCUUGGGCUGCCUUAACCCGCCUUAACCUGCUUUGGGCUGCCUUUGGCCGACUUGACCCGCUUUGGGCCGCCNNNNNN